GAGAAGACAUUCUCUUACCUUCAUGCUUCAUCUUGCAUAAUAUUGAAGUCGGGAAAAAAUUAAUCUAGUGUGGGCGGAUCACAUCCUUACUCAUGAACCAAAACCUCUUUCUCCGUAUCCCUCUCUAGAACCCAUCCAUGACUUCAAUUUCACCACACUUUUCUUAUUCACUAGCAACGGUUGUCGGCAGCUUCUCCACCUCCACCAAUUGUCCCUCCACCUCUUGCCUGUAGUCCUCAUUGACAGUAGCAAUCACUCCCUCCCUCUAUCAGUUAAUUUAAAUGUAAUGGAUAAUUUGAAGUGUGAAUUCUGAAUGUGUGAAGUUUUAACAAUAUUCAUAAUGGGGCUUCAUGAAGAUGUGAAGAGGGGAGAACUUCACAACUUGUUGAGAUGGUUAUCAGGUUAUGAGGCUUCGCAAAUGAACUGCCAUAGGAGAAAAACCUAUGGGUUUUGCUCUCUUCUCAAAUAUCCAACUUGUUAUUGCUAUCAAAAAUGCUCUAAGGUCAUCCUGGUUUAUCGUCGCUAGUAGGUUAUCCAUAUUGAGUGCAUCACCAUAGAGAAGGUGAAUGGCUCCAUAAUUACCCUUCUAAGGUUGUCAUCAAGUUUCUUCUUGACAAGGAUCACAAGUCACUACUUGAUUGCAAGGCGAGGGUUGCAUUGUCAACAACAAGGACAAGGGCAUUGAGUUCAUGACCACGGAUUUUUUCACAAAAGAUGAACAAAAGCUUCCCUCUCUUCUUCAACAAACAUAAUUUGUUAUUGUAAUUCUUCAAUCAACUGAGAAUUGUUCAAUGUUGUAUAUGGAGAAUGUGCAGGAUUCAUUAUUGUGCAUGAUUUAAUGGAUUUUGUUUUAUGCAUCUCUUAAUCAAAAUUCUAUAAUUUG
rnacentral:misc_RNA from 1 species